GACGAACGCUGGCGGCGUGCUUAACACAUGCAAGUCGAACGGUAAGGCCCUUCGGGGUACACGAGUGGCGAACGGGUGAGUAACACGUGGGUGAUCUGCCCUGCACUUCGGGAUAAGCCUGGGAAACUGGGUCUAAUACCGGAUAGGACUCCUGGCUUCAUGGUUGGGGGUGGAAAGCUUUUGCGGUGUGGGAUGGGCCCGCGGCCUAUCAGCUUGUUGGUGGGGUAUGGCCUACCAAGGCGACGACGGGUAGCCGGCCUGAGAGGGUGACCGGUCACACUGGGACUGAGAUACGGCCCAGACUCCUACGGGAGGCAGCAGUGGGGAAUAUUGCACAAUGGGCGCAAGCCUGAUGCAGCGACGCCGCGUGAGGGAUGACGGCCUUCGGGUUGUAAACCUCUUUCAGCUAUGACGAAGCGCAAGUGACGGUAGUAGCAGAAGAAGGACCGGCCAACUACGUGCCAGCCGCCGCCGUAAGAC
rnacentral:rRNA from 1 species